CGGGUGAGUAACGCGUGGGUAACCUGCCUCAUACAGGGGGAUAACAGUUAGAAAUGACUGCUAAUACCGCAUAAGCGCACGGUCUCGCAUGGGACAGUGUGAAAAACUCCGGUGGUAUGAGAUGGACCCGCGUCUGAUUAGCUGGUUGGUGAGGUAAGGGCUCACCAAGGCGACGAUCAGUAGCCGGCCUGAGAGGGUGAACGGCCACAUUGGGACUGAGACACGGCCCAAACUCCUACGGGAGGCAGCAG
rnacentral:rRNA from 1 species